GUUUACUGGAGGCUUAGCCAAAGCUUUUCCCUUCUCAGUUUUCAGUGCCCCAGAUUCCCAAGACAGAUGAGCAGGAGGAAGGAAUCCAAACUUCUAGAAACAGCUCAUCUUCCCUUGUGCUUGCCGCACUGGGUGCUUGGUGUGGGCUGGUGGCGUGUGUGUGUGUGUGUGUGUGUGUGUGUGUGUGUGUGUGUGCGCGCGCAGGAAUAUGCAGACCUCAGGGUUUCUAAGUGCCCGGCCACGGUCUGGUCUUGAUUAGGCAGGCGGAGGGAAGUGGGUCCACAGCAGCGAUCAGAGCUGCUGCAUCCAGCUGUGAGGCUGCAGAGCCAGAAGCGCAUGCGACCUGAAAGGGAACACAUUUCUAGAGGGCCUCGGGCCAAGGUGGAGGUGAUGAGGGCAGGAUGCGGAGGCCAGCGGAGGACAAGUGCUGACUGGCAUGGGGAUGCUAUGGGUGGGGGGACGGUCAGGAAUUAGCAGCUGAUUUCAAGCGUUGGGAGGAGGUGCGGAGACAAGGAGGCAGCGGCUGGGGUGAUUCCAGAGUAAUUAGGGUGGAAAAUUCUGGAGCAUCCUCGCUGCUUCCCUCAGGACAGAGGCUGCGUGUUUCUCAGCUCUGUCCUGGCAGCGGCUGGCGGAGCAUGUGUGGGCUUCAUUGAAUACGCUGCCCGAGUGUCUUGCAGCUUUUCCCAGGCGUCUUCUGUGUCUCCUGGUCCCCACGGCUGCAACUUCGACAACUGAGUUCUCUUGCUCUGGCUGCAUUUCAGGACAAGAGCAUGCCUGCUUGAGGUGCCUAGAAUCCUGGCUGGACCCAAAACACUGCAGACUACUUGGUUUCUGUCCAAGGACAGCCCCAAUGGCCUGGACAGGCCUUUUUUCAUCGAGAACAUGGAGUAAACCCGUGGAGAAACCCCAAACUCCGAGACCAGAUCUGGAAAGAACUUUCUUGGCCCAAACUCACCCUUGGAUCAUCUCCAUUUCAUCCUCACGGCGUCAGCGUCCUUAUUUCCUUGUCUGUAAACGGAAGCAAAGUUGGACAGAGGUGUCUGUGACCUUGGACCCAGGGAGAUUUGGCCUCUAUUCCAGGAACUGCAGCUCUCUCUCCAGGAGGUGA
rnacentral:lncRNA from 9 species